CUACGGGAGGCAGCAGUGGGGAAUAUUGCGCAAUGGGCGAAAGCCUGACGCAGCAACGCCGCGUGAGUGAUGAAGGCCUUCGGGUCGUAAAGCUCUGUCGGGAGGGAAGAACACCUUCGGGUCUGACGGUACCUCCCGAGGAAGCACAGGCUAACUCCGUGCCAGCAGCCGCGGUAAUACGGAGUGUGCAAGCGUUGUUCGGAAUUACUGGGCGUAAAGCGCGCGUAGGCGGCUUGAUAAGUCAGAUGUGAAAUCCCUCGGCUUAACCGAGGAACUGCAUUUGAAACUGUCAGGCUUGAGGACGGGAGGGGGAAGCGGAAUUCCCAGUGUAGAGGUGAAAUUCGUAGAUAUUGGGAGGAACACCAGCGGCGAAGGCGGCUUCCUGGACCGAUACUGACGCCGAGGCGCGAAAGCGUGGGGAGCAAACAGGAUUAGAUACCCCAGUAGUC
rnacentral:rRNA from 1 species